rnacentral:sRNA from 1 species
UUGUUGAAACAUUUUGGAUCUUUCAGGAGGACAUUCCUUUUCUCCAUUCAGAGCCCUUUGUUUUAUUUGGGGUAUAGCAACAGUUCCUUCUAUGGGAGCUCUUGUGGCAUGGCCCCUGUGGCAUUGUCUGUCCUCAUGUGACAUCAUUCUCAUGGUUCUUUUCGGGUUUCUCACACUGGCAUUGUUUUGGCGGGGAACUUCUCUCCCGCAGCACACAGACCCUGACUACUCAGCUGCCUAUGUCGUCAUAGAAACUGAUGCAGAAGAUGGAAUCAAGGGGUGUGGAAUUACCUUCACUCUGGGAAAAGGCACUGAAGUAGUUGUCUGUGCUGUGAAUGCCCUUGCCCACCAUGUGCUCAACAAGGACCUCAAGGACAUUGUUGGUGACUUCAGAGGCUUCUAUAGGCAGCUCACAAGUGAUGGGCAGCUCAGAUGGAUUGGUCCAGAGAAGGGCGUGGUGCACCUGGCGACAGCGGCCGUCCUAAACGCGGUGUGGGACUUGUGGGCCAAGCAGGAGGGAAAGCCUGUCUGGAAGUUACUUGUGGACAUGGAUCCCAGGACGCUGGUAUCCUGCAUAGAUUUCAGGUACAUCACCGAUGUCCUGACUGAGGAGGAUGCCCUAGGUGAGUUUGGAAGCUUUCUGGGAUACACGAUGUGCACACACAGUAGUGGCAUGCUUUGUUUCCUAAAAGAGUGAGUAAUGCUUUUUAUUUCUUCCAGAAAUACUGCAGAAAGGUCAAGUUGGUAAAAAAGAAAGAGGUGGGUUGUAAGAAAAUUUUCUUCAUUGUUUUUGCUAACAUUGUCCACUUUUGAGUGCCCCUGUCCUUUUGGGGUACACGUUGUCCUCCCAAAUGCCCUGUGCUGAGCAGCUAGGCCCUCAAAUCAACAUUCAAGUCUGCAUGGUGAAGCCUCCUGGGUAUGACCUCUGACUGCAGAGUUUGCUUCAGCCACUGCUGAAAGGAAGUUUGGCUUUAGGAUUAAACUGUAGGGAGGGCCCCUGGGGAGCAGGGCAGUCCGUGAGAGUAUCCUGAUCACCUGGGUUUGACAUCCUAGUAAUUUGUGGCUGGGUGUGUGUGAAGGGCCGGGUCAGGAGAACAGCUGGACUCUCCAGGGGAAACAGCUUAGCUACAGGCACUUCCAAUUCCGAAGGGCCCUGGAAAGUGCAAAAUGUUGACGGCGCUGUGUUUUCACAGAGAAGCAAAUGCUGGCACAAGGCUACCCUGCUUACACGACAUCGUGCGCCUGGCUGGGGUACUCAGAUGACACGUUGAAGCAGCUCUGUGCCCAGGCGCUGAAGGAUGGCUGGACCAG